rnacentral:rRNA from 1 species
AGAGUUUGAUCCUGGCUCAGGACGAACGCUGGCGGCGUGCCUAAUACAUGCAAGUCGAGCGGACAGAUGGGAGCUUGCUCCCUGAUGUUAGCGGCGGACGGGUGAGUAACACGUGGGUAACCUGCCUGUAAGACUGGGAUAACUCCGGGAAACCGGGGCUAAUACCGGAUGGUUGUUUGAACCGCAUGGUUCAAACAUAAAAGGUGGCUUCGGCUACCACUUACAGAUGGACCCGCGGCGCAUUAGCUAGUUGGUGAGGUAACGGCUCACCAAGGCGACGAUGCGUAGCCGACCUGAGAGGGUGAUCGGCCACACUGGGACUGAGACACGGCCCAGACUCCUACGGGAGGCAGCAGUAGGGAAUCUUCCGCAAUGGACGAAAGUCUGACGGAGCAACGCCGCGUGAGUGAUGAAGGUUUUCGGAUCGUAAAGCUCUGUUGUUAGGGAAGAACAAGUACCGUUCGAAUAGGGCGGUACCUUGACGGUACCUAACCAGAAAGCCACGGCUAACUACGUGCCAGCAGCCGCGGUAAUACGUAGGUGGCAAGCGUUGUCCGGAAUUAUUGGGCGUAAAGGGCUCGCAGGCGGUUUCUUAAGUCUGAUGUGAAAGCCCCCGGCUCAACCGGGGAGGGUCAUUGGAAACUGGGGAACUUGAGUGCAGAAGAGGAGAGUGGAAUUCCACGUGUAGCGGUGAAAUGCGUAGAGAUGUGGAGGAACACCAGUGGCGAAGGCGACUCUCUGGUCUGUAACUGACGUUGAGGAGCGAAAGCGUGGGGAGCGAACAGGAUUAGAUACCCUGGUAGUCCACGCCGUAAACGAUGAGUGCUAAGUGUUAGGGGGUUUCCGCCCCUCAGUGCUGCAGCUAACGCAUUAAGCACUCCGCCUGGGGAGUACGGUCGCAAGACUGAAACUCAAAGGAAUUGACGGGGGCCCGCACAAGCGGUGGAGCAUGUGGUUUAAUUCGAAGCAACGCGAAGAACCUUACCAGGUCUUGACAUCCUCUGACAAUCCUAGAGAUAGGACGUCCCCUUCGGGGGCAGAGUGACAGGUGGUGCAUGGUUGUCGUCAGCUCGUGUCGUGAGAUGUUGGGUUAAGUCCCGCAACGAGCGCAACCCUUGAUCUUAGUUGCCAGCAUUCAGUUGGGCACUCUAAGGUGACUGCCGGUGACAAACCGGAGGAAGGUGGGGAUGACGUCAAAUCAUCAUGCCCCUUAUGACCUGGGCUACACACGUGCUACAAUGGACAGAACAAAGGGCAGCGAAACCGCGAGGUUAAGCCAAUC